rnacentral:lncRNA from 1 species
UAAAACACGGUUGAGAAUUUGUGCGUAAUUUUCUCAUAAGUGCGUCUCAUUUUGUCUGGAUAAAUUGAAGCUUUCUGUUGGUACAUACAUUAAAGUGACACUUAUUUGAUUUUAAGUACUAUUCGUAUAAUUGUAUUCAAGAUUUUUGUGCGCUGGCUUACCAUUCAAGGAUUUUACCUCAAGACUGGCGACAGAUUCAAGCCAGGCCAUUAUGAAAUGAUAAUCACACGCACCUUGCUUUUUAGUCUUUAAGCGGCUCCUGUUUCGGAAAUUGAGCGUUUCCACUCCUUUAUUUUCACCUUAGUCCUUGGAAAAAACAAAGAGCUAGAACACGGCAUAAUUGUCAAAGUCGAUCGGUCAAGACCUCACGUCUAGAAGGAAGUCAGAGAUAACGAUGAUUUGCGUGGAGAAUUGCUCGCAAAAACCUCCAUGACUGACGUUUAGACGACGGAAUCGUGUGGGCGGGUUGCGUACACUAAUGAUAAGUUGCCAGAUCUUACCGGAAUCUUU